UUCGCAAUGCCCGAAAGGGUGACGAAGCGACGCCGCGUGUGGGAAGAAGGCCUUCGGGUUGUAAACCACUGUCGGGAGUUAAGAAAUACAAGGAUAUUAAUAGUGUCUUUGUUUGACUAAGGCUCCGGAGGAAGCCACGGCAAACUCUGUGCCAGCAGCCGCGGUAAUACAGAGGCGGCAAGCGUUGUUCGGAAUUAUUGGGCGUAAAGAGCACGUAGGCGGCUAUGUAAGUCGGUUGUGAAAGCCUUCCGCUCAACGGAAGAACAGCAUCCGAUACUACAUGGCUUGAGUGCGGGAGGGGAGAGUGGAACUUCUGGUGGAGCGGUGAAAUGCGUAGAUAUCAGAAGGAACGCCGGCGGCGAAAGCGGCUCUCUGGCCCAUAACUGACGCUGAGUGUGCGAAAGCUAGGGGAGCAAACGGGAUUAGAUACCCCGGUAGUCCUAGCCGUAAAC
rnacentral:rRNA from 1 species